AGAGUUUGAUCCUGGCUCAGGAUGAACGCUGGCGGCGUGCUUAACACAUGCAAGUCGAACGAUCCUUCGGGAUAGUGGCGGACGGGUGAGUAACGCGUGGGAAUCUGCCCUUAGGAGGGGGAUAACGGCUGGAAACGGCCGCUAAUACCCCAUAUGCCGAGAGGUGAAACGAAUUUCGCCUGAGGAUGAGCCCGCGUCUGAUUAGCUAGUUGGUGGGGUAAAGGCCUACCAAGGCGACGAUCAGUAGCUGGUCUGAGAGGAUGAUCAGCCACACUGGGACUGAGACACGGCCCAGACUCCUACGGGAGGCAGCAGUGGGGAAUUUUCCGCAAUGGGCGAAAGCCUGACGGAGCAACGCCGCGUGAGGGAUGAAGGCCUCUGGGCUGUAAACCUCUUUUCUCAAGGAAGAAGAACUGACGGUACUUGAGGAAUAAGCCACGGCUAAUUCCGUGCCAGCAGCCGCGGUAAUACGGGAGUGGCAAGCGUUAUCCGGAAUUAUUGGGCGUAAAGCGUCCGCAGGCGGCCUUGUAAGUCUGUUGUUAAAGCGUGGAGCUCAACUCCAUUUAAGCAAUGGAAACUACAAGGCUGGAGUGUGGUAGGGGCAGAGGGAAUUCCCGGUGUAGCGGUGAGAUGCGUAGAUAUCGGGAAGAACACCAGUGGCGAAGGCGCUCUGCUGGGCCAUAACUGACGCUCAUGGACGAAAGCCAGGGGAGCGAAAGGGAUUAGAUACCCCUGUAGUCCUGGCCGUAAACGAUGAACACUAGGUGUCGGGGGAAUCGACCCCCUCGGUGUCGUAGCCAACGCGUUAAGUGUUCCGCCUGGGGAGUACGCACGCAAGUGUGAAACUCAAAGGAAUUGACGGGGGCCCGCACAAGCGGUGGAGUAUGUGGUUUAAUUCGAUGCAACGCGAAGAACCUUACCAGGGUUUGACAUCCUGCGAAUCCCUUGGAAACGAGGGAGUGCCUUCGGGAGCGCAGUGACAGGUGGUGCAUGGCUGUCGUCAGCUCGUGUCGUGAGAUGUUGGGUUAAGUCCCGCAACGAGCGCAACCCACGUCUUUAGUUGCCAGCAUUCAGUUGGGCACUCUAGAGAGACUGCCGGUGAUAAACCGGAGGAAGGUGUGGAUGACGUCAAGUCAUCAUGCCCCUUACAUCCUGGGCUACACACGUACUACAAUGCUACGGACAAAGGGCAGCAAGCUCGCGAGAGUUAGCAAAUCCCAUAAACCGUGGCUCAGUUCAGAUCGUAGGCUGCAACUCGCCUACGUGAAGGAGAAAUCGCUAGUAAUCGCAGGUCAGCAUACUGCGGUGAAUACGUUCCCGGGCCUUGUACACACCGCCCGUCACACCAUGGAAGUUGGCCAUGCCCGAAGUCGUUACC
rnacentral:rRNA from 1 species